AUGAUGAUCACAUUUUUUAAAUGUUUAUGGUUAUUAAACUGAAAAAUUUUGAGGAUAAACUCUAGGGCGGUCUGAUAUA